UACGGAGGAUGCGAGCGUUAUCCGGAUUUAUUGGGUUUAAAGGGUGCGUAGGCGGACUGUCAAGUCAGCGGUAAAAUUGAGAGGCUCAACCUCUUCCCGCCGUUGAAACUGGUGGUCUUGAGUGGAUGAGAAGUACGCGGAAUGCGUGGUGUAGCGGUGAAACGCAUAGAUAUCACGCAGAACUCCGAUUGCGAAGGCAGCGUACCGGCAUCCAACUGACGCUGAGGCACGUAAGCGUGGGGAUCAAACAGG
rnacentral:rRNA from 1 species